rnacentral:tRNA from 2 species
CGGGGCGUGGCUCAGCCCGGUAGAGCGCCGCGUUCGGGUCGCGGAGGUCGGUGGUUCAAAUCCACUCGCCCCGACCA